AUGGCCGCUUCCCGCCGCCUGGCGCGGAAGCUCCCCUCCAUCAUCUCCAAGCACCAGCGCCUCAUCUCGCCGGAGAUCGAAACCCUAGAGGAGACCCCCGAAAUCUCCACCUCGCCCGCCUCCAUCCCCCUCGACCCCUCCCUGCCGCUACUCCCGCUCGCCGUCUCCCACCUCUCGCCGCCGAGCCCCCUCCCGGCUCUCCCCUCGGCGCACGCCUCCUCCCCGGAGGCGCUCCUCCGCCUCCUGCGCCGCGCGCGGCACCACCCGCGCCUGGCGCCGCUCGACCUCCACCUCCUCCUCGCGGCCGCCGACUCCUCCUCGGCCUUCCGCCCCGACCACCGGCUCACGAGCCUCCUCGCCGCGCGCCUCCCCUCGCUGCGGCGCCUCCUCCAGCUCGUCCUCUCGCGCCCCUGCCCCUGCGCCGACGACUCCAUCUUCGCAUGCCCCGACCUCCUCCCGACCUUCCGCAAGGCCAUCCUCGCCUUCGCCACCUCCGGCGACAUCCCCGCGGCUUCCGAAGCCCUCGCGUCCCUCCGGCGCGCCGCGGACUCGCCCCUCCCCGCCGAGUUCUACAACAUCAUCCUCCACGCCCUCGCCCGUGUCCACCGCCAUGACGACGCCAUCCGCUUCUACAGCGAGAUGACCAGCGUCCACAGCGUCGCACCGGAUGCCUACACCUUCAACAUACUCAUCAACAGUUCCUGCCGCGUCGAAGGCGUCGAUGCCGCCAUGCGGUGGUUUGAGGAGAUGCGGCGCCGGAGCUGUGCGCCGACUGGUGUGAGCUUCAAUACUCUUAUGCGCGGGUUCUUCAGAGAAGGAAGGCACAAGGAAGGUCUUAAGGUUGCUCAUGAGAUGCUGCAGCUUGGGGUCGGGCUGUCCGUUGCUUCCAUGGAGAUUUUGAUCGGUGGGCUGUGCCGUGGAGGCGAGGCUUCGAAGGCAGCAGAGUUAUUUGCCGAGUUUUUGGUGGAUGCGGUGGCGCAGGAAGGGUUUGAUUGCUUGGAUCUGGUUGAAUCGCUGUGCCAUGUUGGAAGGGUGGACAAAGCAGUGGAAGUGGUGGAGUUGGUAUUGGAGAGGAACAGGGCAUCCUGCUUGAGUGUCCCUGCUGGCGUAACGUUUCUGGAUUGCUUGGUGAAGGCGGGGAGGCUGGAUGAUGUGUGCCGGUUGAUGGGAAGGAUGGUUCGGGAGGGGAUUGUACCAGAUACCAUAUCUUGUAACUGUAUCUUGGAGGCACUUUGUGAAGCUGGACGGACUUCUGAUGCAAACAAGCUGAGGAUUCUGGCUAAGGAGAAGGGUUUUCAGGCUGAUGGUGUGACCUAUAGCAUGCUGGUGCAGGGGUUUGGUAGGCAGGGAAGGGUGUCGGAAGGCGAGGCUGUGUUGGAUGAAAUGCUUGAUUUAGGGUUUAUACCUAACAUUGUGGCUUACAAUAGGCUUCUUGAUAGCUUACACGUGCGGAGAUCUUUGCAAUAA
rnacentral:rRNA from 1 species